rnacentral:lncRNA from 1 species
UAAUUAAAUUUAAUUUAAUUCCUUUAAUUAGGGAAGCUGGUUAAUUCUUAUAUCUCUUGUGUCUACAAGGAAGUUUAAGGACUCAGCUCUCCAGGAGGAGAGGGCAUCUAUCAUCUAAAACUUCCGAAUGUUUAACUCUCAUGAAUGGAGUGAUGAAGUCACCUGUGAUCUCAUGGAGAGAAUGAAGAUCUCUGGAGCCCAGUAUGACAGAAGUUCAAGAUAGUCACAUUACGGAAAGAUUGCUUUGGUCUAAGAAGCUAUAGGGACACAGAUUCGUGUGUAGCCUCAGAUUGCCUCAGAAUGUAGAGAUGAGAUCAUUUCAAUAAAUUGUCA